rnacentral:rRNA from 1 species
GACGAACGCUGGCGGCGUGCUUAACACAUGCAAGUCGAACGGAAAGGCCCUGCUUUUGUGGGGUGCUCGAGUGGCGAACGGGUGAGUAACACGUGAGUAACCUGCCCUUGACUUUGGGAUAACUUCAGGAAACUGGGGCUAAGACCGGAUAGGAUCUCCUGCUGCAUGGUGGGGGUUGGAAAGUUUCGGCGGUUGGGGAUGGACGCGCGGCUUAUCAGCUUGUUGGUGGGGUAGUGGCUUACCAAGGCUUUGACGGGUAGCCGGCCUGAGAGGGUGACCGGGCACAUUGGGACUGAGAUACGGCCCAGAGUCCUACGGGAGGCAGUAGGGGGGAAUAUUGCACAACGGGCGGAAGCCUGAUGCAGCAACGCCGCGUGCGGGAUGACGGCCUUCGGGUUGUAAACCGCUUUCGCCUGUGACGAAGCGUGAGUGACGGUAAUGGGUAAAGAAGCACCGGCUAACUACGUG